rnacentral:rRNA from 1 species
UGGUGGCGAUAGCGAAGAGGUCACACCCGUUCCCAUGCCGAACACGGAAGUUAAGCUCUUCAGCGCCGAUGGUAGUUGGGGGAUUCCCCCUGUGAGAGUAGGACGCCGCCAAGCU